ensembl:snoRNA
CAGUGCCCUAAUCAAGUCUGGCAGCUUGUUGUAGCUGUUCAGAUCCAAACCGGGCCAACAUUAACCUCUUCCCAUGGUCUGUUGGUUUCCCCCCAUAUUAACAAAGGGGAUAGUCAAUUCAGUUGGAAGGAAUAAAC